GCUGCGGCCUUUGCCUCACCGCAGGAGGCAGGUGCUUUAGUCCCUGUUACCAGCUAUUUAUAUUUUAAUGUUAAAACCCACCUGCCCCGUCGGCGAAAUUGGCGCCCGCCAGAAGCGGAUGCUAAACCACUUAAAUCAUUCAUUUAUCAACUGGUGAGCCGAGCUAAAGCCCUUCCCUUAGUGCCCCUUGACCAAGUCGAAAAUGUGUGGCUAGAGGCUAUCAGUGAAAGUCCCGAGGGAGAGGCCUGUGUCAAGUUUAUGGACUAUGUGACAACAACAUGGAUUGAGGGAGCCUGGGACCAGCUGGCUUGGAACCACUUUGCUAAUGAUGGCCACAGAACAAACAACAACAUUGACGGUUAGCACAACAAGAUCAACUCCCUCACCCCAUGCCACCCGAAUAUAUUUGAUUUCAUUCAGCUCAUCAAGAGGGGACAGUCUACAACUGAGGUGAAACUUGUACAGAAGAGAGGAAAGUACAGAAGAGAGGAAACAGACGUGGACCAUCAGUGGACCAUCAAGAGGGAACAGUCUACAACUGAUGUGAAACGUGUACAGCAGAGAGGAAACAGACCUGGACCAUCAAGAGGGAACAGUCUACAACUGAGGUGAAACUUGUACAGCAGAGAGGAAACAGACGUGAACCAUCAAGAGGGAACAGUCUACAACUGAGGUGAAACUUGUACAGCAGAGAGGAAACAGACGUUGACCAUCAGUGGACCAUCAAGAGGGAACAGUCUACAACUGUGGUGAAACUUGUACAGCAGAGAGGAAACAGACCUGGACCAUCAAGAGGGAACAGUCUACAACUGAGGUGAAACUUGUACAGCAGAGAGGAAACAGACGUGGACCAUCAGUGGACCAUCAAGAGGGAACAAUCUACAACUGUGGUGAAACUUGUACAGCAGAGAGGAAACAGGCCUGGACUGGUAAGACACGUUGAUGUUUCAUAGUUUUGAAGAUGCCAGAUGUGUUCCAUAAUUCCUAAGAAUCGUAAUAUGAAACUGAACCAUUGAUUUUGUGAUGUCAAUUUGUCUUGAGUUCUUUUUAUAUGUACAGUGGUGGAGCUGUGAUUGUUAAUUAUCUGAACAAUGUGCAAUGAAAUGAAUGAAUGUGAUAAAAUAAAUAUUUUGAUGGAGUGUUAUAUAUUGAUAUACAUUGUUUCAGACUUGAAUUCUUUAUACAAACUACCCUAAUAAAUCCGGACUACAGCCUCAA